AACGCUAGCUACAGGCUUAACACAUGCAAGUCGAGGGGCAGCAUUGGAGUAGCAAUACUUCAGAUGGCGACCGGCGCACGGGUGAGUAACACGUAUCCAACCUGCCGCUUACUCGGGGAUAGCCUUUCGAAAGAAAGAUUAAUACCCGAUGGUAUAAAGAGUUCGCAUGUUCUCUUUAUUAAAGAAUUUCGGUAAGCGAUGGGGAUGCGUUCCAUUAGAUUGUUGGCGGGGUAACGGCCCACCAAGUCUACGAUGGAUAGGGGUUCUGAGAGGAAGGUCCCCCACAUUGGAACUGAGACACGGUCCAAACUCCUACGGGAGGCAGCAGUGAGGAAUAUUGGUCAAUGGACGAGAGUCUGAACCAGCCAAGUAGCGUGAAGGAUGAAGGUUCUAUGGAUUGUAAACUUCUUUUAUACGGGAAUAAACGAAUCCACGCGUGGAUUUUUGCAUGUACCGUAUGAAUAAGGAUCGGCUAACUCCGUGCCAGCAGCCGCGGUAAUACGGAGGAUCCGAGCGUUAUCCGGAUUUAUUGGGUUUAAAGGGAGCGUAGAUGGGUUGUUAAGUCAGUUGUGAAAGUUUGCGGCUCAACCGUAAAAUUGCAAUUGAUACUGGCAGUCUUGAGUACAGUUGAGGUAGGCGGAAUUCGUGGUGUAGCGGUGAAAUGCUUAGAUAUCACGAAGAACUCCGAUUG
rnacentral:rRNA from 1 species